rnacentral:rRNA from 1 species
UACGAGGGGGGCAAAUGUUGUUCGGAAUCACUGGGCGUAAAGGGAGCGUAGGCGGGUUCUUAAGUAAGGUGUUUAAUCCCGGGGCCCAACCCCGGACCGGCACUUUAAACUGGGAAUCUUGAAUAGUGGAGAGGUCGGUGGAAUUGGGGGUGUGAGCGGUGGAAUGCGUAGAGAUCCCCAAGAACACCAGUUGCGAAGGCGGCCGACUGGACACAUAUUGACGCUGAGGCUCGAAAGCAUGGGGAGCAAACAGG